rnacentral:rRNA from 1 species
UACGUAGGUGGCAAGCGUUAUCCGGAAUUAUUGGGCGUAAAGCGCGCGCAGGCGGUUUCUUAAGUCUGAUGUGAAAGCCCACGGCUCAACCGUGGAGGGUCAUUGGAAACUGGGGAACUUGAGUGCAGAAGAGAAAAGCGGAAUUCCACGUGUAGCGGUGAAAUGCGUAGAGAUGUGGAGGAACACCAGUGGCGAAGGCGGCCCCCUGGUUGGAUACUGACGCUGAUACGCGAAAGCGUGGGGAGCAAACAGG